GCGGGUAUAGUUUAGUGGUAAA
rnacentral:tRNA from 23 species